CAUUCACGGAGAGUUUGAUCCUGGCUCAGGACGAACGCUGGCGGCGUGCUUAACACAUGCAAGUCGAACGAUGAAGCCUUUCGGGGUGGAUUAGUGGCGAACGGGUGAGUAACACGUGGGCAAUCUGCCCUUCACUCUGGGACAAGCCCUGGAAACGGGGUCUAAUACCGGAUAACACUCUGUCCUGCAUGGGACGGGGUUGAAAGCUCCGGCGGUGAAG
rnacentral:rRNA from 1 species